CCCAAUUUUCCACCCCAAAAUCCCUCAGGGAAAACCCGGCAGCGACGAUGAGGAGGCCGAAGGCUCCGAGGAGCCCAAAGGGGGGAAGAACAAAUUUGGAGCCCUGAGGGACGAGGAGGAGGAGGAGGAAGAGGAGGAGGAGGAGGAAGAGGAAGGAGCCCGGAAGGGAAGCGAGAACGAGCAGGAGGAAGGGGCGGGGCCAAGGGCGGGGCCGGAUCCGCGAAUCAGCAAAAAGGAGAAGAAGAAGAUGAAGAAACAGG